rnacentral:rRNA from 1 species
UACGAAGGGGGCUAGCGUUGCUCGGAAUCACUGGGCGUAAAGCGCACGUAGGCGGAUUGCUAAGUCAGGGGUGAAAUCCUGGAGCUCAACUCCAGAACUGCCUUUGAUACUGGCAACCUUGAGUCCGGGAGAGGUGAGUGGAACUGCGAGUGUAGAGGUGAAAUUCGUAGAUAUUCGCAAGAACACCAGUGGCGAAGGCGGCUCACUGGCCCGGUACUGACGCUGAGGUGCGAAAGCGUGGGGAGCAACAGGAUUAAGAA